rnacentral:lncRNA from 1 species
AUCAUCUUCAAGUUCAUUCCCUUCCAUAUGAUUAAAAUAAUUAAGUGGCAGAUUGGCAGGGUCUAAAUUCUGUGUUUAUAUAAAAAGAUAUGGGGAGAUUAUACAGUCUGUUGCUGUUGCUCUCAAAACAUGGCUAAUUAUAGGGUUUUCAAAAAUUAUCUACUUUUCUUACUCUUUUAAAUAGGCAAUGUAUCUAGGUUACAAAAUCCGAAAGAUGCAAAUGAGACUACAAUGAAAAUUAAGUCUCCAGUCCUCCUCUCUCUGUGCCCAUUUUCCCCUCGUUAAAAAGAUUGCACCUAGUUUCUUUUGUAUCCAUUCAGAGAUGUUCUAUGCAAUUGCACUCAAGAUAUUCUGUUACUGCAGCACCAAUGGAUGAGGAUAGGGAAUGACUGAGCCAUAAGAUGAAAGGAUUCUGGCUCUUUUUGUUAAAGCAAAUUCACAUUCAAGGACAUUCCGCAGCUUCAGUUCAAUAAAUUUUUACAAAUGCAUGUACCAGAUAACAACCACACUCCUAUCAAGAUAUAAAAUAGUUUUGUUGAUGUCAUCAGAGGCAAGCACUGGUAUCAUUUUUUUCUCUCUUGAUAAAUAUUAACCUUUUAGAACCUCAUAUAAAUGGAAUCAUAGAGUAAAUAUGUUUUUAUUUAUGGCUUCUUUCACUCCAUCAUAUAAUGUUUUUGAAAUUAUCCAUAUUGGUUGAGUUUGUCAAUAGUUAAUUCCUUUUAAUUAAUGAAUAUUAUUCCUUUGUAUAACUAUGCCAUAAUUUACUUAUUCACUCUCCUAUUUGAUGGACAUUUGGGUUGCUUCCUUUUGGGGGGGUAUUAUGAAUAAAGGUGCUGUGAUCAUUUGUGCACAAGUUUUUAUAUGAAUGUAUUUUUCAUUUCUCCUAGGAAAUAUCUAUGAGAGGAAGGACAUGGUUAUAUGUUAGGUAUUUAUCUUUACAAGAAAUUGUGAAACUGUUUUCUGAAGUAAUUGUAAAAUUUUACACUAUUGCCUGCAGAGUAUGAUAGUUCCAUUUGUACCACAUUCUUGCCAACUCUUGAUUUUGUCUGUCUUUACAAUGUUAUCCAUUCCAAUGGGUGUAUAGUGGUAUCUCAUUGUGCUUCUAAUUUAUAUUUACUUGGGGUCUAGGCAAUUCUUCAUAUACUAUCUUCUUAUAUAUUUUGUUUGAACUCUCUGCUCAUGUAUUUUCCCAAUUUUUUUGUUUGUUUAGAUUCAUUUGCAUGAUUUCUUUAUAUACUCUGAAUACAAAAAUUUUGCCAUAUAAAUGUUUUGCACAUAUUUUUCUCAGAAUGUGGCUUGCCUA